GUGGCGAUAGAGAAAAGGUUCACCUGUUCUCAUCCCGAACACAGAAGUUAAGCUUUUCAUCGUCGAAGAUACUUGGCUGGCGACGGCCUGGGAAAAUAGAACACUGC
rnacentral:rRNA from 1 species